rnacentral:rRNA from 1 species
CGAGUUUGAUCCUGGCUCAGAUUGAACGCUGGCGGAAUGCUUACACAUGCAAGUCGAACGGUAGAGGGGGCAACCCUUGAGAGUGGCGAACGGGUGAGUAAUAUAUCGGAACGUGCCCAGUCGUGGGGGAUAACGUAGCGAAAGUUACGCUAAUACCGCAUACGAUCUAAGGAUGAAAGCGGGGGACUCGCAAGACCUCGCGCGAUUGGAGCGGCCGAUAUCAGAUUAGGUAGUUGGUGAGGUAAAGGCUCACCAAGCCGACGAUCUGUAGCUGGUCUGAGAGGACGACCAGCCACACUGGGACUGAGACACGGCCCAGACUCCUACGGGAGGCAGCAGUGGGGAAUUUUGGACAAUGGGCGCAAGCCUGAUCCAGCAAUGCCGCGUGCAGGAUGAAGGCCUUCGGGUUGUAAACUGCUUUUGUACGGAACGAAACGGUGAGCUCUAAUACAGUUUGCUAAUGACGGUACCGUAAGAAUAAGCACCGGCUAACUACGUG